rnacentral:rRNA from 1 species
UGGGGAAUCUUGCGCAAUGCGCGAAAGCGUGACGCAGCAACGCCGCGUGGGGGAAGACGGCCUUCGGGUUGUAAACCCCUUUCAGUUGGGACGAAGCUCCGCCCGUUAAUAGCGGGCCGGAGUGACGGUACCUUCAGAAGAAGCCCCGGCUAACUACGUGCCAGCAGCCGCGGUAAUACGUAGGGGGCAAGCGUUGUCCGGAAUCAUUGGGCGUAAAGAGCGUGUAGGCGGCCCGAUAAGUCCGCCGUGAAAGUCCAGGGCUCAACCCUGGGAUGCCGGUGGAAACUGUCGGGCUAGAGUCCGGAAGAGGCGAGUGGAAUUCCUGGUGUAGCGGUGAAAUGCGCAGAUAUCAGGAGGAACACCAAUGGCGAAGGCAGCUCGCUGGGACGGUACUGACGCUGAGACGCGAAAGCGUGGGGAGCAAACAGG